UGGGAUGUAGUACAAUGGCAGUGCCGCGGACUCUGGAUCCGUUUAUGAAGGUUCGAAUCCUUCCAUCCCAGCCA
rnacentral:tRNA from 1 species